UACGAAGGGGGGCUAGCGUUGCUCGGAAUCACUGGGCGUAAAGCGCACGUAGGCGGCUUUUUAAGUCAGGGGUGAAAUCCUGGAGCUCAACUCCAGAACUGCCUUUGAUACUGAUGGUCUGGAGGGAGAUAGGGGUGUGUGGAACUUCCAGUGGAGCGGUGAAAUGCGUUGAUAUUGGAAGGAACGCCGGAGGCGAAAGCGACGCACUGGAUCUCUUCUGACGCUGAGGCGCGAAAGCCAGGGGAGCAAACAGG
rnacentral:rRNA from 1 species